rnacentral:lncRNA from 1 species
GCGUCGAGUGGAGAGAGGAAUUGAUCUGAUAACUUCAACGUUCAUCGGGAGAAAAAACUGCUCGAGCUUCCCCACGUCCCAGGAUGUAGUCUUUACUAUUCCUUAAUUUACAGUUACGUACGUAGACGGACGUACGUCCGUCCGUCUGCCUCUCUCCGUGAUCGCUCCUGCAUGAAAAGAAAACCAACGCCUCCGCACGCAAAAAAAAAACGCACCCCC